rnacentral:rRNA from 1 species
UACAGAGGUCUCAAGCGUUGUUCGGAUUCAUUGGGCGUAAAGGGUGCGUAGGCGGCGAGGUAAGUCGGAUGUGAAAUCCCUCGGCUUAACCGGGGAACUGCAUCUGAUACUGGAUGGCUUGAGAUUGGGAGAGGGAUGCGGAAUUCCAGGUGUAGCGGUGAAAUGCGUAGAUAUCUGGAGGAACACCGGUGGCGAAGGCGGCAUCCUGGACCAACACUGACGCUGAGGAGCGAAAGCCAGGGGAGCAAACGGG